UUUAGUUUCAUUUUGACGCAGCUGUUGUGAGGAUAUGCACUGUGGUUUGAAACAGCGUACGUAAGUAUGCUUAUUUAAGCGAAAUAAAGAUGCCCUGGUCACUUUACGUGAACAAUAUACCGCCUGAGAUUACCGAAGAAAAAUUGAUCAUAUAUUUCCAGUCCAGCAAGUCAGGAGGCGGCGAUGUCGAUUCAGAUGCUAGCAGAUGGAAUGGCGACAACGCAGUUGUAGUUUUUGAGGAAGAAGAAUGUAAGUAGUCUAGUAUCAUUAACCCUGAAUCUCUACUGAAUAGAAAAACUACAUGGC